rnacentral:misc_RNA from 1 species
GAUGAAGAACGCAGCGAAAUGCGAUAAGUAGUGUGAAUUGCAGAAUUCCGUGAAUCAUCGAAUCUUUGAACGCACAUUGCGCCUUCUGGUAUUCCGGAAGGCAUGCCUGUUCGAGAGUCAUUAACAACCGUUUCGAUCCCUUUCUUUCAGAAAUUACAAAGAGGAAAAGGGUUUGGUUAUGGUGGAGGAGGGAAAGGGAGCGUUUAGCCUGUAAAAAAAGAGGCUGUGUUCCGCCUCCCCCCCAAAAUUGUACAGGCGGUCGUGUGCGCCCACGCAUCGAGGUGUUGUAAAAGCUGCCACGGCACUUUUCACCUGUGCAGUGCGAGAUUGGCCAGCCGGUUUAAAAACCCCUCCAAACAAUCAAAGGUUGACCUCGGAUCAGGUAGGGAUACCCGCUGAACUUAAGCAUAUCAAUAAGCGGGAGGA